UGGGGAAUUUUGGACAAUGGUCGCAAGCCUGAUCCAGCCAUGCCGCGUGCAGGAAGAAGCAUCUAUGGUGUGUAAACUGCUUUUGUACGGGAAGAAACACUCCUUCGUGAAGGAGCUUGACGGUACCGUAAUAAUAAGGAUCGGCUAACUCCGUGCCAGCAGCCGCGGUAAUACGGAGGAUCCAAGCGUUAUCCGGAAUCAUUGGGUUUAAAGGGUCCGUAGGCGGUUUAGUAAGUCAGUGGUGAAAGCCCAUCGCUCAACGAUGGAACGGCCAUUGAUACUGCUAGACUUGAAUUAUUAGGAAGUAAGUAGGAUAUGUAGUGUAGCGGUGAAAUGCUUAGAUAUUACAUGGAAUACCAAUUGCGAAGGCAGGUUACUACUAAGGGAUUGACGCUGAUGGACGAAAGCGUGGGGAGCGAACA
rnacentral:rRNA from 1 species